GUGACUCCCCAAGGGCACCCAGACCGAAGGUUUAUGUUGAAGCUUCCUGGGUGAUUCUGCGAAUCAAGGCUCCAGUCUAACCUUAUUACUUUACAGCUGGGGAAACUGAGGCACACACUAUGCCAAGGCCUCACCUUAAGUUAGCCAACCACGAGGAAGCCAAGGGAAAGCCUACAAGGAGAGACCCCACGAAGGCCAGGAUUUUCCCCACGACCUGAGUCCUGAGAGUUUGGAGUAGAAGAGAGGGGCUAGGGACGCAGGAAGGUCUUGGGCACGCUGCCCUGACAGCUUCGCAGGAUCACCGCGCGGUCCCCAGGCUCACGAAAUUAAUGAGGAAGAGGCCUUUCUUUCCUCAGUCGAGGAGUAGAUUCCGUUUAACCUCUGCAGACAGUAAGACAGCGACCACUCUCCCUCCCAGCCUGGCGCCAGCAUGAACCCGAGGGCAUGUCAGCAGGAGCCAGGAACUGGAGGCGAAGCAUCCUUCAUUUCCUCUGCGGCAGUGGAACGAGUGAGGUCUCUGAUUGCCAGAGUCUUGUUUUUUUCAAAAUCGCAGCAUGCUGAGACCGAAAGCGGGGUACCCCGGAGGAUUCUUUUAUAUGCUCAACCUUGAGUCAGACUUGCAAUCGGCAUUUGAUCAAGAAACUUGCAAGGUAUUCUCAAACUUGGGAACCAACCUUGAAGCCUGACAAAAUUACCUGGGAUGGAGCUCAGGACGGCAGGCCCUUGUCUUGCUCUGUGACUGUACAUGUCACUUUUCACUUGGCCAUUCAACAAAAACUCUGGAGAACCUCCUGUCUGCUUGGGCUUCUAAAUCAUGGUGCUGACACUUUGGACUAGAAAAUAACAAAGAAGGAAGCUGCCAAAUAGCAGCAUGGAAAGCUUUGCAAAAGAAUUGACAUUUGAUAUGGACUCUGACAGAUGAAAAGGAGUUCCCGGGGUGGCAUCAGUUCAUCUUCUAUAAGGGACCUGGCAGCAUCUCGCAGUGUGAUCCAGAGCCUGGUGGAGGGCUGAUGAAUGCUAGCAGCUCCUCUAAUUUUUACUGCUGUAAACCAAAGCUUCCAGGAGCAGCCAGCCCAGGAGCACAGUGGGGCUAUCAGCAAAGCAGGGAUGCUGAUCCAAGUUCAAAUCCCAGUCUUCCCAGGGCCACACUGGACGGUUUGGAGAAAACUGCAGAACUUGGAGUUGGCAUCCGUCAACGCAGUGGGAUGAAACAAAGUGGCAAUCAUGGGCCGCCUUGCAUAUGGCUUGCACACAGUGGGCCCUCAGCUGGUGAGGGCUUCUGCAGGUGCGGUCCAUGGAGCCCAGGCUUUGGGCUGAGGCAGGCCCAGGACUAGCCCAUUAGAGGCUGCUCAGCUCCACAUGGAAACCCCAGCUGGCUGUGGGGCCCGAGGUGUAGUGUGUGCCAGAGUCCCCUGACUUUAAGUGGCUUCUGGUCAGUGCCAGCACAUGUCACUACCAGCUUCAGGACCAGUGGUCCCCCAAUGCCAUGAGAAUACUGUGAAAGCUUCCCAGAAGAGGUGCUGUUUGAUCCCCUUUAAAGGAAUACAUCAGAGCCCUACAGGGUGGCCCAAAGCUGCUGUGUCCCCAUAGAGAGUGGAUGAGUAGCUUGAAAUUCCCUGUGUCCCAAGCACCUGCUGUGUGCUCAAUCAGGAAAGCAAGUGAUAAGGCGAAAAGACAGGCUGCUCAAUUUUUAAAAAUGGGCAAAGAAUAUGAAUAGGUAGUUCACAAAACAGGUGUGGAAAAUGGCUCAGAAAUUGAUUUUAAAAAAGAAUGCUCAACCAUGCCAAAUCUUAAGGGAAAUGCAACUUAAAUGAGGUAGUGUUUUUAUAUAUACUGGAAUAUUACUCCGCCAGAAAAAAAAGAAUGAAAUAGGGCUUCCCUGGUGUCUCAGUGGUAAAGAAUCUGUCUGCCAAUGCAGGAGACACGGGUUUGAUCCCUAAUCAGGGAAGAUCAAACAUGCCAAGAAGCAACUAAGCCCCAUGAGCCACAGCUAUUGAAUUUGUGCUCUAGAGCCUGGGAGCCACAACUACUGAACCCGUGUGCCUCAACUAUUAAAGCCCACACACCCUAGAGCCCACACUCAUCAACAGGAGAAGCCGCUGCCAUGAGAAGCCCGCGCACCACCACUACAGAAAAGCCCUCAU